UACAGAGGGUGCAAGCGUUAAUCGGGAUUACUGGGCGUAAAGCGCGCGUAGGUGGUUAGUUAAGUUGGAUGUGAAAUCCCCGGGCUCAACCUGGGAACUGCAUUCAAAACUGACUGACUAGAGUAUGGUAGAGGGUGGUGGAAUUUCCUGUGUAGCGGUGAAAUGCGUAGAUAUAGGAAGGAACACCAGUGGCGAAGGCGACCACCUGGACUGAUACUGACACUGAGGUGCGAAAGCGUGGGGAGCAAACAGG
rnacentral:rRNA from 1 species